CGGGCGGAGGCGGCGCCUGGGGCUGCUGCUUGGUCCCGGACGCGGCGUUCUCGGGCCCCUCGCCGACCCGCUGGACCAUUCUGCCCCCGCGCCGCGCGCCUCCCUGGCUCCCGGGACCUGGGGACUGCGCUCUGCGUGUGUGCGGCGGGCAGCGGCCGCAGCAGCUCCUUGAUUCAAUAGAUGAGAUGGAAGGAGAAAAAAAAGAACUCUCUCCAUUUGGAGAAAGAGGAGGAGGAGGGGAGGGGGUGGAGGGGGAGCGAGCGAGCGAAAGAGAAAAAGGCUGGAGCUCCCGCCCCCGGGGCUGUCAGAUGGCUUGGGUUUCUGCGCCGCGAUUGGCUCACCGAGGGCAGAAAUUACUCAGCAAACAUGACUAUUAUUAGCUGCUUAGCAACAGCUCACCAAAGUAGAGAGACCACCCAGCCACAUGACUUCAAUGGAUAGAGAUGUAUUCUUGAAAGACCCAGACUAUGAACAAUUUCUCCUCAUCUCCCUCGCCUCAUCUCUAUUUGCCUAACAUAUCUGUAUCAAGCUUUGCAUCUGGCAGAAGGCACACCAUUCAUUUCAGUGAUCUCUGCCAUUGGGUCCUGCAUGAAAAAGCAGCUGAGCAACAUGAUCCCUUUGACCCACUGCUGGAGCAACAAAUUUAUUAGAGAUAUAGGCAUGAGAAAUGAAAGGGAAGUAAAACAAUUCCAGCUUAUUGUGUGUCUUUCUUUCAUACUGCUAAUCCGGUUUACACAUCACGCCUACAUGUCUCAAUAGGGCAUUAUACACUGUGGCAGAGGCUGGGGAAAAUAAAAGGUGUGUGUGUGAGAGAGACAGAGAGAGAGAGAGAGAGAGAGAGAGAGAGAGAGAGGACAAAUACUUUAUACUGAUUCACCCUAUAAAUUUUUCUAUCUGUAGAAAGCUGACAAUUUGUAAUAACCUUUGUCUUUUCACAAAAUAAUUCCAAAUGAUGCUAGCUCCUGUUCAAAUAGCUUGUCAGAUUAUGACUAGAUUAUAACCAGAAAUUAGAUACACCUCUCACAGUGAGUUUGAAAUGAAGCUAAUACCCUAAACUGAGAAUGGGCGUAUUAAGAUGCUGGGGCCUAUUGGUGGCCACCUUGAGUCAACAUUUUAAUUUACAAAGAUCAUGGACUCGAAGGCGUUUUACAGCCUGGUGCAAGGACACUGGGUGACCACUGGAACACACACAAACUUACAACUGAAAGCCCCUUGUUUUACAAGAUGGGGACACAAUGCACCUGAGGCAACAAUUUAUCCUGAGGUACCACCCAGAAAUAAUAAGUUACAACAACAAAGGAUGACACCAAAAAGCAUUGUCUUUCUUUGUGGAGGCAAUUAAUUGCAUGUUGAACUACUGGAGCCAAAAAAGAAAAAAAAAAAAAAAAAAAAACCACGAACACACACAGAAUGCGGAAAAAGGACUAUUGUAAUAGUUCAAGACCUCAGUGAUCCAAUUAUUAAAUAUUUAGAGCCACCCAUUGUGGGUCUUUAUUAUUUAUGUCUAGUUCUUUUGUAUUUCUCCUUCUCAAGGAGGAAGGAGGGUAAAAGGGAGGAAGACAGUCUUCUCUCCCAGGUCCAGGAAAACAGAGGUCUUUGGGUGUCUCCCAUACACAACAACCCAUAGGAUUUUUAGGGCGAUGAAACCUGAGAUCAGAAAACUUAGGACUUGCUGUUCAGCCAUACACUGGGCAUCAUUUUAAACCCGAAUUUAAAUGUGCUACGACCCAGAAUAUGUCUCAGAGACAGUCUCUGGAGGUCCUGUGUUCCAGUGUUGGGCCCAGGUCCAUAAGGGUCUGGGUCAGUCGGACCCACCUUCGGGCUCCCCCGAGGCAACACUUCGCGUUCCCUGCACUGGGCUA
ensembl:lincRNA